GACGAACGCUGGCGGCGUGCUUAACACAUGCAAGUCGAACGGAAAGGCCCUUCGGGGUACUCGAGUGGCGAACGGGUGAGUAACACGUGGGUGAUCUGCCCUGCACUUUGGGAUAAGCCUGGGAAACUGGGUCUAAUACCGGAUAUACCUCAUGGACUGCAUGCCUUGUGGGGGAAAGCUUUUGCGGUGUGGGAUGGGCCCGCGGCCUAUCAGCUUGUUGGUGGGGUGAUGGCCUACCAAGGCGACGACGGGUAGCCGGCCUGAGAGGGUGUCCGGCCACACUGGGACUGAGAUACGGCCCAGACUCCUACGGGAGGCAGCAGUGGGGAAUAUUGCACAAUGGGCGCAAGCCUGAUGCAGCGACGCCGCGUGAGGGAUGACGGCCUUCGGGUUGUAAACCCCUUUCAAUAGGGACGAAGCGCAAGUGACGGUACCUAUAGAAGAAGCACCGGCCAACUACGUGCCAGCCGCCGCAGUAACAC
rnacentral:rRNA from 1 species